UACGUAGGGUGCAAGCGUUAAUCGGAAUUACUGGGCGUAAAGCGUGCGCAGGCGGUGAUGUAAGACAGAUGUGAAAUCCCCGGGCUUAACCUGGGAAUGGCAUUUGGGACUGCAAGGCUGGAGUUUGGCAGAGGAGACUGGAAUUCCCGGUGUAGCAGUGAAAUGCGUAGAUAUCGGGAGGAAUACCGAUGGCGAAGGCAGGUCUCUGGGCUAUAACUGACGCUCAUGCACGAAAGCGUGGGGAGCAAACAGG
rnacentral:rRNA from 1 species